AACUUUUAACAACGGAUCACUUGGCUCUCGCAUCGAUGAAGAACGCAGCGAAAUGCGAUAAGUAAUGUGAAUUGCAGAAUUCAGUGAAUCAUCGUAUCUUUGAACGCACCUUGCGCCCUCUGGUAUUCCGGAGGGCAUGCCUGUUUGAGUGUCUUGAUAUCAUCAAACCCCUCGGGUUCGCGCCCGUUGCGGUUUGGAGUUGGGGGCUUGCUGCCGUGAGGCGGCUCCCCUUAUAAUCAUCGGUUUGGCCCGCACCAUGCGGCUAGCACCUUUGGCGUUGUAUUCUCCUCGCCUUCGAUCGCUCUUGCUCGCUUCCGCGCCUCACCUCGACUUGCCCUUUGGGUGGCGGUCACUUCUUGACAAUCUGGCCUCAAAUCAGGUAGGACUACCCGCUGAACCUAAGCAUAUCAAUACGCGGAGGCU
rnacentral:misc_RNA from 1 species